AGCGGUUGAAGCUUUCAAUGGGAGGACCAAGAGGAAUGAGGAAGCCAGGCACAACAUAACAUGGAGUUCCGACAGUACCCAAGCAAGCUGGUGUGCUGUGGAGACACCUGGUCCUCUGUGCUGCAAACAGACUCUGCUGCAUGCUACUGCCUGCCUGCCUACUGUGAGCUGAGGUGUGCCUGCUGUUCUGCUGUAAGUUGCUUCUGUCAGCCCUGGAGAAAUUGUUUUGAAGAUACAGUUGUUUCUACUAUCCAUAGCUACUUACUCAACUACGUUUUCACAAAUAGGUUUUGUUCUUGCUUUUUAAAAACUAGUACUGCAGAUGUGAUGCAAGGCCAAAGUACAUCAAGCUGGUAGUAGGAUUUGUCUUCGUCUACACGGAGCUGCUUUUCCAGGGAGUUUUCUGUAAAGGUUAAACUGAGGAGGGACAAACAACCCAGACUGUUGCUAUUGUCACAUGGGCUGGGACCUUGGACUGAUCAAAAAGGGAAAAAGGAGAAAGCCAGCUGGGUGUGACCAUUGGUGACCGCUGCCAGACUCUGGGUGCAAGGGCAAGAAGAGUCCAGCAAGGUAGGAAACGUGGGAGCAAGCAGGCAUAGCUGCAAGAAUAAAAGCUGAGAAAUCACACCUUCAAGUGCAAGAAUGAUGCGGAGAGAGCAAACUGGAAUCAACAGUUUUCUGUAAAAUGAAAAAAACUGAGCAGUGUGAGCUACAA
rnacentral:lncRNA from 1 species